rnacentral:rRNA from 1 species
AUUGAACGCUGGCGGCAUGCCUUACACAUGCAAGUCGAACGGUAACAGGUUAAGCUGACGUGUGGCGAACGGGUGAGUAAUGUAUCGGAACGUGCCCAGUCGUGGGGGAUAACUGCUCGAAAGAGCAGCUAAUCCCGCAUACGACCUGAGGGUGAAAGCGGGGGAUCGCAAGACCUCGCGCGAUUGGCGCGGCCGAUAUCCGAUUAGGUAGUUGGUGAGGUAAAGGCUCACCAAGCCGACGAUCUGUAGCUGGUCUGAGAGGACGACCAGCCACACUGGGACUGAGACACGGCCCAGACUCCUACGGGAGGCAGCAGUGGGGAAUUUUGGACAAUGGGCGCAAGCCUGAUCCAGCCAUGCCGCGUGCGGGAAGAAGGCCUUCGGGUUGUAAACCGCUUUUGUCAGGGAAGAAAAGGUUCUGGCUAAUACCUGGGACUCAUGACGGUACCUGAAGAAUAAGCACCGGCUAACUACGUG